AAUCGCUAGUAAUCGUAGAUCAGAAUGCUACGGUGAAUACGUUCUCGGAUCUUGUACUCACCGCCCGUCACACCAAGAGAGUCGGUAAUACCCGAAGCUCCUGUCUUAUAGCAGGAACCACGGUGGGAUCGAUAAUAAGGGUGAAGUCGUAACAAGGCAUCGGUAGCGGAAGCUGUCGAUGGAUCACCUCCUUUCUAG
rnacentral:rRNA from 1 species